rnacentral:rRNA from 1 species
CCUACGGGAGGCAGCAGUGGGGAAUUUUGGACAAUGGGGGAAACCCUGAUCCAGCCAUUCCGCGUGAGUGAAGAAGGCCUUCGGGUUGUAAAGCUCUUUUCGGCAGGAACGAAACGGUUUGGGCUAAUACCCCAGACUACUGACGGUACCUGAAGAAGAAGCACCGGCUAACUACGUGCCAGCAGCCGCGGUAAUACGUAGGGUGCGAGCGUUAAUCGGAUUUACUGGGCGUAAAGCAUGCGCAGGCGGCGGUUCAAGUCAGGUGUGAAAUCCCCGAGCUUAACUUGGGAAUUGCGCUUGAAACUAGAUCGCUAGAGUACGGCAGAGGGGGUAGAAUUCCACGUGUAGCAGUGAAAUGCGUAGAGAUGUGGAGGAACACCGAUGGCGAAGGCAGCCCCCUGGGCCUGUACUGACGCUCAUGCAUGAAAGCGUGGGGAGCAAACAGGAUUAGAUACCCUGGUAGUCCACGCCCUAAACUAUGUCAACUAGUUGUUGGAAGAGUCAAAUCUUUCAGUAACGUAGCUAACGCGCGAAGUUGACCGCCUUGGGGGAGGUACGGUCGCGAGAUAACUACAANAGAGUAGACGCGUGAGACGUGGCGAGGACGACGACGAGGGAGGAGG